UACGUAGGUGGCAAGCGUUGUCCGGAUUUACUGGGCGUAAAGAGCGCGCAGGCGGUCGGCCAAGUCGAGUGUGAAAGCCCCCGGCUCAACUGGGGAGGGUCAUUCGAUACUGGUCGACUCGAAGGCAGGAGAGGGAAGCGGAAUUCCCGGUGUAGUGGUGAAAUGCGUAGAUAUCGGGAGGAACACCAGUGGCGAAGGCGGCUUCCUGGCCUGUUCUUGACGCUGAGGCGGCGAAAAGCUGAGGG
rnacentral:rRNA from 1 species